rnacentral:tRNA from 1 species
GCCUUCGUGGUGUAGAGGUUAGCACGCUGGGCGCGUAAUCAAGAGGCCCGUAGUUCGAAUCCCGGCGAGGGCA